rnacentral:rRNA from 1 species
GUGGGGAAUCUUAGACAAUGGGGGAAACCCUGAUCUAGCAAUGCCGCGUGAGCGAUGAAGGCCUUAGGGUUGUAAAGCUCUUUCAGAUGGGAAGAUAAUGACGGUACCAUCAGAAGAAGCCCCGGCUAACUCCGUGCCAGCAGCCGCGGUAAUACGGAGGGGGCUAGCGUUGUUCGGACUUACUGGGCGUAAAGCGCACGUAGGCGGACCAGAAAGUCAGAGGUGAAAUCCCAGGGCUCAACCUUGGAACUGCCUUUGAAACUCCUGGUCUUGAGGUCGAGGGAGGUGAGUGGAAUUCCGAGUGUAGAGGUGAAAUUCGUAGAUAUUCGGAGGAACACCAGUGGCGAAGGCGGCUCACUGGCUCGAUACUGACGCUGAGGUGCGAAAGCGUGGGGAGCAAACAGGAUUAGAAACCCUGGUAGUCC